GAACAAAUGGUCAAAACAAAGAUCUUACAAGGUUAGAAGCAUAGGACUUUAUGUUAGGCCAUAUUCACCCCAAUCCUGGGCAUGUGUAGCUUGCUAUUUGGUUUUCCUGGCAAGCCUGAGAAGGUGGUGGUUAUACAUAUACACUACCGAGUCUCCAGGUCACACCUAUACCUCUAAGAGCGUGCAUUUUGGAACAUUCAAGAUGAUACAUAGGGUGGCUGGAGAGACAGCUCACUGGUGAAGAACACCUGCUGCUCUUCCAAAGGACUCCAGUUCAUUUCCCAUCACUCACAUCAGCCUAUCAAAAGGGAUCGUGACUGAACACAACCAGGACAUCAGAAUCUCUGGCUCUUGUCUUUUAGACUUCGAAGGAGGAUCAUUACUAUUAUUUACUCUACGCCUGCCCAAGACCUCCCUCAGUUCCUUGUCUGCAGGCCUAAACAUCUGAGCAGAGAAAAUAAAAGCAAAGAGUUCCCUAAAAUGCCACCAUACAGAAGGUUCAGGAAGUAAGAAACCUAAAGGCCUAAUUAUGCCUCUGAGAGAAGUGGUUUGGCAUCUCCAUCCCUGGAGGAAUGAUGUAGCACACACCAAGGCUUUAUGAACAGACAGCUUCCAGCCCAGGUUACAAAGCCUUGGGGACUACAGCAGAAAGCCAGCAUGUCAUAAUCACAAGUGUGACGAAAAUCACUCUCUUCCUGUCUCUGAAUGUGACUCCGUGAGAUGCUCAUCUGCUACAGGUUAUCAGCAGGAUCCCCACAUGAGGAACAGAAACGAUUUCCCCUCAAACCCUUUUUCCUGUACCUUAAACCAAGCUCCUCUGUGCUACAAGGUGAUAGAUAAUCCAUGAGAGAAGAUCGUGGAAACUUCAGGAAACAGAGAGGCCCCUGCAAUCAAGCACAUCCCUGGCACCUCUUCAGUGGAAGCUCCUCUGACACCCAUCAAGUUGGUCGUCAUUAAUGCCUUAUUCCCAUCUUCAUUGGCUCCCUGGCUGCACCCUUUGGCUUUAAACUCUCCUAAAGAUGGCUGUCCUGUUAUGAAGGCUGCUUGCUAACUGUUUAAAGUCUGCUCGGAUCUUCUAUUAUGGGCAUUCUGUCCUGUCAACUCAUCUGAUGUCAACCAGCAUGAACCACGUUACUAGCUUGCAUUGCCUCUUGGUCACAUAAGCCCCUCGAACUUUUAUCUGUAUAUUGUCCUAGAGAACAUGAGGCACGAAUCCUCUCUUUUCUUUAUCUCCGUGCACAGUUUCCCGAUAGAGAGAAGCAGAGAGCUCAGUGGGUACAGCUGAAUUGUUGAUUUGGAUGAAACUUGAACUUUAAAGGUUGGGGACAAGCA